UAUUGAAACACCGGUUGUCCUACGAUCACCGAAGUUAAGCAACGUCGAGACUGGUCAGUACCUAGAUGGGUGACCGCUUUGGAAAUCUCAGGUGUUGUAAG